UCUAUACCUAGGACGAAAGCAUACGGAUGUAAACGUGGAUCUACGAUCCUUGUUAUCCGAGAGCGCUUUGUAUUAUGUGGAUAAUUCCGCUGCCUUCCUGCUGAUUUCCCAC